AGUCUUAUAUUCAAAAGUGAUUUUAAAUUGCAAAUUUAAAGGUGGAUAUUCCUAAGGCUU
rnacentral:tRNA from 1 species